UGCGCAUGCGCAGUCCAUUCAAAACACUGCCCCGUGAGGACCAAGACGUUCCCGCAGAAGUGUUCUUCGCGCUCCCUCGACGCACCACUUCCAGAAUUUUCUCCUUUUCCCUCCCGUAAAUACUUCAAGGAGGCCUCCUCCUGCUGCCGUCGCCCGAGAUGAAUCUGAACCCGCAGUACCAACAGAUCGGCGAGAGCUUCGCCAAGGAGUAUUACGCCGUCUUCGAUGCCGACAAGGAAGGGAGGGAAAAACUGGCCCAUUUCUAUCACGCGGAACUCUCGCUGAUGUCCUUUGAGGGAAUUCAGGUUCAAGGAGCAGCACGAAUAAUUGAAAAGAUUAAGAGUUUAACUUUUAAUAAAAUAGCUCGUGCCAUCACUGCAGUUGACUGUCAACCCACAUUUGAUGGUGGUGUAUUGGUUAACAUAUUAGGACAACUUAAGAUGGAUGAUGAUCCCCCUCACGGGUUCAAUCAGACGUUUGUGCUUAAACCGCUUGGAGACAGCUUCUUCGUCCAGCACGACAUGUUUCGGUUGGCCCUCCACCACAUUGCUGUUUGAGGGGAAGCCUGAAACUGUAGUCCUGAGAGGACAUUGGUCUCAAUAUUACACCUCGGCAUCAUCAUAGUUAUGGAUGAAGACCCAGUCCACGGAUUUUCCCAGACCUUUGUCCUCAAGCCUAUGAAUGAUUCAUUCUUCAUCCAACAUGACUCCUUCCGCCUUGUCAUCCAUGAUCACUAAUCCAUCUCUGUUGAGUUGUAAUCAUCCUGACCACCCAAAGCUUACCAAUCAAAGUGUCUGCAUAAGGAAUGCAGUUGAGAGUGCCAGUUUGCAAGGAGGACUUUGCUUCUCACCAUUGCGUCCUAAGGUAACUUACAAGCCAAAACGUUUGGUGUGUAUAGGUACUGUUUGCACAGGAAUUACAGUAUUUCAUUGUUAUUUAUUGAAAGGUUGAUCUUUUUUAUUGUAAGCAUCAGGGUAUAACUUAUGAUAGUAUAUUUCCUACAAGAGCAUUUUCAGUUUUAAGGAAUUGCUUCGUGAUUGCGUUUAUUACGAAAGUCUUGUCACUGAUAAUUUUUUAAUGAUAGCUAUGACACAGUUUACAUGUGUAAUGUAUUUAUGGAAAUUGUAACUGAAAUCACAUGCUACAUUUUGAGGUUAGGGUGGUUGAACAUAUACGCUUAUAUGGUGUUCCAGAGUGGGGACAUUAUUGCUUUCAUGUUUUGUGGUGCAGAUGUAAUUGUGGGAACAGUUGAACAUGAAAAUUUACUGUAAUGAAAUUUUUUACAUUUUGUAAUUCACAAAUUAAGUAUUGUAAGCUUCAUGUAGACCCACACUUGCUUAAGUGGCUUGCUACAUGAAAAAAACUGUAAUCUAAGGAAAUAGAGUACUGUAAUCUGUUGUAAUUUUAAUGGUUAAAGCAAUCUUUAGUGCUGCACUUACACUGAGCUUUUAUGUAAUUCUGACACACUGUGGAACAACUACAUGCUCUUUUGAUACAGAGAUGGCUGAGCAGAUUUCUAGUUUUGAAUUUGUACAUCUCUUCAGUCCAGUUGCAGCAAAUUUGCCUUGUCAGAUCUAGGUGAUAGUGUGCCUAACAAUAGCCAGUCUUUUCCUGAUUUUGAUCUUCGUCAACAUGAUGGUUAUGUGUAAUACUGUUGAAAUUGCAUAGAUUAAUAUGACCUGAGAUCAUGUUCCAUAAGAUAUCAUUGCAUCAGCUGUCAUCAUUCUUUAACAGUAGCUAUUGUUUUUUUAAUGUCAAUAUUACCUGGAGUGUCCUAUGUUUUGUUCAAAUACACAUUCUUUUGAAAUAAAA